rnacentral:misc_RNA from 1 species
GAAAUGCGAUAAGUAAUGUGAAUUGCAGAAUUCAGUGAAUCAUCGAAUCUUUGAACGCACCUUGCGCCCGUUGGUAUUCCGACGGGCAUGCCUGUUUGAGUGUCGUGAACAACCUCAACCUUGAUUGGUUUUACUAAUCAAGGCUUGGAUUUGGGUGUUGCUGCUGCAAAGUGGCUCGCCUUAAAACUAUUAGCUGGACUUGUCUAUGACUUGGUUCGACUCGAUGUAAUAAGUAUUCAUCGGGGACAGGGUAACACCUGGCCAAGGCUUGAUGCCGUCUGCUUCUAAUCAUGUUCUCACUAUGAGACGCUACUUUACUGUGUGGCCUCAAAUCAGGUAGGAUUACCCGCUGAACUUAA